rnacentral:lncRNA from 15 species
UAAGUUCAUAAGCAAUGUUUUCUUCUCUUUAUGAGAAACCCUCUACAGAUGAACAACGCUCUGCACUGAUCCAGAAAGUUGCAACAAUAGCAGCUGUUAAACAACUGCUUUUGGAAACCCUGAAUGAUUUGAGUAAUGAGGAGCUUUUCAAGGAGUUCCUGAGGUUGAUUUUCUCCCAGAAAGACCUCCAAAUGGUUUUGAGACACACAGCAGGCAGAGCAGAAAUAGUGGAUCUGAUGGUGGAAACCUACGGCCAGCAGUCUGUGGAGUUAACCAGGGAGGUUUUCAUGGACAUGAACAGGACUGAUCUGGUUCAGAGGCUGUCAAAGCCCAGCUCAGGACUCAAAGGUAAGAGAAAGAGGACAUAAAUCUGUUACAUUACGUAGUCACAGAUUUAAUCAUGAAUGACUAAUAAAUUAAAUAUUAUUCAUGCUGCUUCUGUCCAAACUCUGUGUCCUCAGGUGAUAAUGUCUGC